GGAAGGAAGGAAGGAAGGAAGGAAGGAAAGAGGAGAGAGCGCGCGCGCGCGCGCGCUGUUUAUAUAGAAAUUCUAAAAUUUACUCCCCAAACAAUCAGAGACGGAGUAGUGAGCAGCGGAACGCAGCAGAGAAAGGGAGGCUGGGGGAGGGAAGAGUCGCAAAACAGUGGGAGAGGAAGCAAAAAGCAAGCGUCCGGGAACCGGAGGCCUGCUGGGCGCGGGGUCUGCACGCCUAGUCUCCCUUGGACUCUGGGCUGUACAUGGUGGGUACCAGAAGUGAGACUCGGCCAAGCCCUGCCGUACCAGGUGGCUAUGGAAUGGUGUAGCAGAUUGCUGCAGAUGGUUUCAAUAGUUCUGCUGAAUGCUCCUCGUUUGUGCCUGCAAGAGGAACUCAAGGCUUUAUGUAUGGCCAUUGCUGUGACCUAGUGUGAUGCUCUACUUUUCCACUGAACUCUGCUUGCUCUAACUGAGGACC
ensembl:antisense